ACGCUGGCGGCGUGCUAACACAUGCAAGUCGAACGAUGAUAGAGAGCUUGCUUUCUUGAUUAGUGGCGCACGGGUGAGUAAUGCAUAGAUAAUGUGCCCCUUAGUUCGGGAUAGCCACUGGAAACGGUGAUUAAUACCGGAUACUCCUUCUUGUUAUAAGACAAGUCGGGAAAGUUUUUCGCUAAGGGAUCAGUCUAUGUUCCAUCAGCUUGUUGGUGAGGUAAUGGCUCACCAAGGCUAUGACGGAUAUCUGGUUUGAGAGGAUGAUCAGACACACUGGAACUGAGACACGGUCCAGACUCCUACGGGGGGCAGCAGUGAGGAAUAUUGCACAAUGGAGGAAACUCUGAUGCAGCAACGCCGCGUGGAGGAUGACGCAUUUCGGUGUGUAAACUCCUUUUAUUAGGGAAGAUAAUGACGGUACCUAAUGAAUAAGCACCGGCUAACUCCGUGCCAGCAGCCGCGGUAAUACGGAGGGUGCAAGCGUUACUCGGAAUCACUGGGCGUAAAGGGUGCGUAGGCUGGCUUUUAAGUCAGAUGUGAAAUCCAAUGGCUCAACCAUUGAACUGCAUUUGAAACUGAAAGCCUAGAGUUCAGAAGGGGCAGAUGGAAUUAGUGGUGUAGGGGUAAAAUCCGUAGAUAUCACUAGGAAUAUCAAAAGCGAAGGCGAUCUGCUGGGAUGAUACUGACG
rnacentral:rRNA from 1 species